rnacentral:rRNA from 1 species
ACAUCGAAAGCUUGCUUUUGAUGGGCGUCGACCGGCGCACGGGUGAGUAACGCGUAUCCAACCUGCCCACCACUUGGGGAUAACCGGGAGAAAUUCCGACUAAUACCCAAUGAUAUCUCUAGAAGACAUCUGAAAGAGAUUAAAGAUUUAUCGGUGAUGGAUGGGGAUGCGUCUGAUUAGCUUGUUGGCGGGGCAACGGCCCACCAAGCCUACGAUAUCUAGGGGUUCUGAGAGGAAGGUCCCCACAUUGGUACUGAGAUACGGCCCAGACUCC